rnacentral:rRNA from 1 species
UGGGGAAUUUUGGACAAUGGGCGAAAGCCUGAUCCAGCAAUGCCGCGUGUGUGAAGAAGGCCUUCGGGUUGUAAAGCACUUUUGUCCGGAAAGAAAUCCUUGGCUCUAAUACAGUCGGGGGAUGACGGUACCAGAAGAAUAAGCACCGGCUAACUACGUGCCAGCAGCCGCGGUAAUACGUAGGGUGCAAGCGUUAAUCGGAAUUACUGGGCGUAAAGCGUGCGCAGGCGGUUUGCUAAGACCGAUGUGAAAUCCCCGGGCUCAACCUGGGAACUGCAUUGGUGACUGGCAGGCUAGAGUAUGGCAGAGGGGGGUAGAAUUCCACGUGUAGCAGUGAAAUGCGUAGAGAUGUGGAGGAAUACCGAUGGCGAAGGCAGCCCCCUGGGCCAAUACUGACGCUCAUGCACGAAAGCGUGGGGAGCAAAACAGGAUUAGAUACCCUGGUAGUCCACGCCCUAAAACGAUGUCAACUAGUUGUUGGGGAUUCAUUUCCUUAGUAACGUAGCUAACGCGUGAAGUUGACCGCCUGGGGAGUACGGUCGCAAG